UAGGGAAUCUUCGGCAAUGGACGAAAGUCUGACCGAGCAACGCCGCGUGAGUGAAGAAGGUUUUCGGAUCGUAAAACUCUGUUGGUAGAGAAGAACGUUGGUGAGAGUGGAAAGCUCAUCAAGUGACGGUAACUACCCAGAAAGGGACGGCUAACUACGUGCCAGCAGCCGCGGUAAUACGUAGGUCCCGAGCGUUGUCCGGAUUUAUUGGGCGUAAAGCGAGCGCAGGUGGUUUAUUAAGUCUGGUGUAAAAGGCAGUGGCUCAACCAUUGUAUGCAUUGGAAACUGGUAGACUUGAGUGCAGGAGAGGAGAGUGGAAUUCCAUGUGUAGCGGUGAAAUGCGUAGAUAUAUGGAGGAACACCGGUGGCGAAAGCGGCUCUCUGGCCUGUAACUGACACUGAGGCUCGAAAGCGUGGGGAGCAAACAGGAUUAG
rnacentral:rRNA from 1 species